CCAAGAAUAUUAGUCAAUGCUCGCAAGAGUGAACGAGCUAACUGAAAGAAUAUACAAUCUAAAGUUAGGAAUCUUAUAAUUUAUAUUAUAAGUUUAAAGACGAAUCUAACUAACAGUGUCGUCCAAAUUCUGGUGCCAGAAGACUCGGUAAUACCAGAGACGCGAACGUUAAUCAUCAUGAAUGGGCAUAAAGGGUUUGUAGGCGGCUUAUUAUUUAAUAGGCUAGAAUCUUAGAGAGGUUAAUAAAAUACUUAGAGGAGGGCUGAUAUCCAUAGAUCCUAAGUGGAAUCCUAAUUGCGAAGGCCAUUUUCCACUACAGAUUGACGCUGAGAAACGAAGGUUAGGAUAGGAACUAGGAUUAGAGACCCUAUUACCCCUAACUGUAAACGAUGAAUGGAAGAUAUUUACAAUUGUAAGUGUCGAAGUGAAUACGAUAACCAUUCCGCCUUGCCAGUAUACUUGCAAAAGUGAAAACAAAAAAAUUAGUCGGUCCUAAAGCAAACGAAGUGAAGCAUGUUAUUUAAU
rnacentral:rRNA from 1 species